ACUGCUAUCGGGGUCCGACUAAGCCAUGCGAGUUGUGUGUUCUUCGUGAGCACGGCAGACUGCUCAGUAACACGUGGAUAACCUGCCCUUAGGUCUGGGAUAACCCCGGGAAACUGGGGAUAAUACCGGAUAGGUCAUAGAUGCUGGAAUGCCCUAUGAUCCAAAGUUCAGGCGCCUAAGGAUGGGUCUGCGGUCUAUCAGGUUGUAGUGGGUGUAAUGUACCUACUAGCCGACGACGGAUACGGGUUGUGAGAGCAAGAGCCCGGAGAUGGAUUCUGAGACACGAAUCCAGGCCCUACGGGGCGCAGCAGGCGCGAAAACUUUACAAUGCACGAAAGUGUGAUAAGGGGACCCCGAGUGUUGGUGCCUAGCAUCAACUGUCCAACUGUCUAAAAAACAGUUAUUAGCAAGAGCCGGGUAAGACCGGUGCCAGCCGCCGCGGUAACACCGGCGGCUCGAGUGGUGACCGCUAUUAUUGGGUCUAAAGGGUUCGUAGCCGGCUUAGUAAGUUCUUUGGGAAAUCUGGCGGCUUAACCGUCAGGCUGCCGAAGGAUACUGUUAGGCUUGAGACCGGGAGGGGCUAGAGGUACUUCAGGGGUAGGGGUGAAAUCCUGUGAUCCCUGUGAGACCACCAGUGGCGAAGGCGUCUAGCUAGAACGGAUCUGACGGUGAUGAACGAAAGCUAGGGGCACGAACCGGAUUAGAUACCCGGGUAGUCCUAGCCGUAAACGAUGCGAGCUAGGUGU
rnacentral:rRNA from 1 species